rnacentral:rRNA from 1 species
GAUGAACGCUGACAGAAUGCUUAACACAUGCAAGUCAACUUGAAUUUGGGUUUUUAACUUAGGUUUGGGUGGCGGACGGGUGAGUAACGCGUAAAGAACUUGCCUCACAGUUAGGGACAACAUUUGGAAACGAAUGCUAAUACCUGAUAUUAUGAUAAUAGGGCAUCCCAUAAUUAUGAAAGCUAUAAGCGCUGUGAGAGAGCUUUGCGUCCCAUUAGCUAGUUGGAGAGGUAACGGCUCACCAAGGCGAUGAUGGGUAGCCGGCCUGAGAGGGUGAUCGGCCACAAGGGGACUGAGACACGGCCCUUACUCCUACGGGAGGCAGCAGUGGGGAAUAUUGGACAAUGGACCGAGAGUCUGAUCCAGCAAUUCUGUGUGCACGAUGAAGUUUUUCGGAAUGUAAAGUGCUUUCAGUUGGGAAGAAAGAAAUGACGGUACCAACAGAAGAAGUGACGGCUAAAUACGUGCCAGCAGCCGCGGUAAUACGUAUGUCACGAGCGUUAUCCGGAUUUAUUGGGCGUAAAGCGCGUCUAGGUGGUUAUGUAAGUCUGAUGUGAAAAUGCAGGGCUCAACUCUGUAUUGCGUUGGAAACUGUAUAACUAGAGUACUGGAGAGGUAAGCGGAACUACAAGUGUAGAGGUGAAAUUCGUAGAUAUUUGUAGGAAUGCCGAUGGGGAAGCCAGCUUACUGGACAGAUACUGACGCUAAAGCGCGAAAGCGUGGGUAGCAAACAGG